CUUGACCGACCCCAACCACAGCGGUUCGGCCGGCUCUGUACGGUUCUGCCCGUAGGUCGCCAGCAACGCCUGGGCCUC
rnacentral:antisense_RNA from 1 species